GAUAAACGCUGGCGGCGCACAUAAGACAUGCAAGUCGAACGGACUUAACUCAUUCUUUUAGAUUGAGAGCGGUUAGUGGCGGACUGGUGAGUAACAUGUAAGCAAUCUGCCUAUUAGAGGGGAAUAACAGUGAGAAAUCAUUGCUAAUACCGCAUAUGCCAUAAAAACCACAUGGUUUUAGUGGGAAAGGAGCAAUCCGCUAAUAGAUGAGCUUGCACCUGAUUAGCUAGUUGGUAAGGUAACGGCUUACCAAGGCGACGAUCAGUAGCCGGACUGAGAGGUUGAACGGCCACAUUGGGACUGAGAUACGGCCCAG
rnacentral:rRNA from 1 species